GACGAACGCUGGCGGCGCGCCUAACACAUGCAAGUCGAACGAGAGAUGAGGAGCUUGCUCUUCAAAUCGAGUGGCGAACGGGUGAGUAACGCGUGAGGAACCUGCCUCAAAGAGGGGGACAACAGUUGGAAACGACUGCUAAUACCGCAUAAGCCCACGGCUCGGCAUCGAGCAGAGGGAAAAGGAGUAAUCCGCUUUGAGAUGGCCUCGCGUCCGAUUAGCUAGUUGGUGAGGUAAUGGCCCACCAAGGCGACGAUCGGUAGCCGGACUGAGAGGUUAAACGGCCACAUUGGGACUGAGACACGGCCCAGACUCCUACGGGAGGCAGCAGUGGGGAAUAUUGCACAAUGGGGGAAACCCUGAUGCAGCGACGCCGCGUGGAGGAAGAAGGUCUUCGGAUUGUAAACUCCUGUUGUUGAGGAAGAUAAUGACGGUACUCAACAAGGAAGUGACGGCUAACUACGUGCCAGCAGCCGCGGUAAAACGUAGGUCACAAGCGUUGUCCGGAAUUACUGGGUGUAAAGGGAGCGCAGGCGGGAGAACAAGUUGGAAGUGAAAUCCAUGGGCUCAACCCAUGAACUGCUUUCAAAACUGUUUUUCUUGAGUAGUGCAGAGGUAGGCGGAAUUCCCGGUGUAGCGGUGGAAUGCGUAGAUAUCGGGAGGAACACCAGUGGCGAAGGCGGCCUACUGGGCACCAACUGACGCUGAGGCUCGAAAGUGUGGGUAGCAAACAGGAUUAGAUACCCUGGUAGUCCACACCGUAAACG
rnacentral:rRNA from 1 species